rnacentral:lncRNA from 1 species
AACAAACUUCAGUAGAGAAUAAACUACAUAACCAUUAGAUUAUUAAAUGUUUUGUUUCUCUCUCUACCAGGGUCCAUCAUGCUGGGAUGAUGUCCUAAUUUCAAACAAAAUAAGUGGCGUUUGCCAUUUCCCAGACUGCAAUGGAACUGGAGCAGAACAUUCCUCAGGGAGAAGGGCCCAGAUCAGACUGUACAAUGUGCCCCAACUUUGCCCAUUUACUUUUAUUCCAGGGAAGAUUGUUCAAAUCAAGGAAGUCUUGAAAUGGGAAAUAAAUAGAAAAAUGUCACUUAAGUGCAUAACUUUGCUUGCAGCUGAUAGAAGAAGGAGUCAUUAUGAGGUAAUACCCUUCUCCUCUACCAGUCUUUCUCAUUAACAUUAUUUCAGGCAAAUUAAUUCAGUUUUUUUCAUCAGGCAAUUAUUAUUAACAGUUUAUAAGGACCAUAGAUUUUGCAAAGAAAAAAAAAGCAUGUAGUAUAAUAGAUAGAAUGCACUAUUUGGAGUUAAGAAGACCUAAUACUAGUGGCUGUAUGACCUUGGGCAAGUUAUUAAACCUCUGAGAUCUAUAGAUAUAAAAGCAGCUCUUAUACUCAUUACACUCAUGAAAAAUAAUUAUGGAUCUUUGAGAAAUCACCUCUCUCAAAGACAACAACUUCCAUGGGAUCAGAAAUUUUUAGUACUAUCAAGGAUUCAGAAAGGAAUUCAUGUAGUCCAAUCCCUUAAUUCUACAGAUAAAUGAAAUUGAGACUUGUAGAGAUUAAGUGAUGCUCCCAAAGUCAGGAAAGUACACAAGUAUGAAAAUGUUAGGUCUUUUCACAAUACCCAAUAGUGAACUCACUUCCUUGUCCUAUAAAGUGUUCAGAUGCUUUGUUAAAACUAUAAGCUCCAUUUAGAUUGGGGGACAUCUCUUACCUAAACAUUAUAUCUCUCCAGAAAUAUGAUGGUAAAAAAUGUUAUAUCUUAUUACCCUUUCCAUCUCCUUGCCUAUAGGUAAAGUAGCUUUCUAUAGCUGCUGUGUGGGUGUUAUUCACAUUUUGAGUUAAUUCCAAUGAAAGUAAAGUUUAAGCAUUAUCUGCCACACACCCCAUCUUCCCUUCCACUGUAUUGAUCCUUGAGUGAGAUUGCUUAACGUGAGAUAGUAUCUCUCCUUCUAUCUUUCCUUUUCUCUUCUCCCCAUGUGUUCCGCUUUCCCAUCCCUACAUUUUUUAUAUCAACUUAUUCUAUUCCAUUUAUUCCUUCCCUUCCA